GACGAACGCUGGCGGCGUGCUUAACACAUGCAAGUCGAACGAAGAGCGAUGGAAGCUUGCUUCUAUCAAUCUUAGUGGCGAACGGGUGAGUAACGCGUAAUCAACCUGCCCUUCAGAGGGGGACAACAGUUGGAAACGACUGCUAAUACCGCAUACGAUCUAACCUCGGCAUCGAGGAUAGAUGAAAGGUGGCCUCUACAUGUAAGCUAUCACUGAAGGAGGGGAUUGCGUCUGAUUAGCUAGUUGGAGGGGUAACGGCCCACCAAGGCGAUGAUCAGUAGCCGGUCUGAGAGGAUGCACGGCCACAUUGGGACUGAGACACGGCCCAGACUCCUACGGGAGGCAGCAGUGGGGAAUCUUCCGCAAUGGACGAAAGUCUGACGGAGCAACGCCGCGUGAGUGAUGACGGCCUUCGGGUUGUAAAGCUCUGUUAAUCGGGACGAAAGGCCUCCUUGCGAAUAGUUAGAAGGAUUGACGGUACCGGAAUAGAAAGCCACGGCUAACUACGUG
rnacentral:rRNA from 1 species